CCUACGGGGGGCAGCAGUGAGGAAUAUUGGUCAAUGGACGAGAGUCUGAACCAGCCAAGUAGCGUGAAGGAUGACUGCCCUAUGGGUUGUAAACUUCUUUUAUAAAGGAAUAAAACGAGGCACGUGUGCCUUUUUGCAUGUACUUUAUGAAUAAGGAUCGGCUAAAUCCGUGCCAGCAGCCGCGGUAAUACGGAGGAUCCGAGCGUUAGUCGGAUUUAUUGGGUUUAAAGGGAGCGUAGGUGGGUUGUUAAGUCAGUUGUGAAAGUUUGCGGCUCAACCGUAAAACUGCAAUUGAUACUGGCAGUCUUGAGGACAGUUGAGGUAGGCGGAAUGCGUGGUGUAGCGGUGAAAUGCUUAGAUAUCACGAAGAACCCCGAUUGCGAAGGCAGCUUACUAAACUGUGACUGACAUUGAUGCUCGAAAGUGUGGGGAUCAAACAGGAUUAGAUACCCGAGUAGUC
rnacentral:rRNA from 1 species